rnacentral:lncRNA from 1 species
ACAAUGGAAACGAGCAAGUGCAUCGCAGUCCAGGAACUUGGUAUAUAUAUAUAUAUAUAUAUAUAUGGGUGCGAUAGUCAACUACAUAUGUAACUAACUAACUAGUUAUGAUGAGCAAGAAGUUGUUACAUAACGCACGGACACCGGCCGGUGAAUGAAUGUACAGGUACAAUGAGAGAGAGGCAGGUGGUAUUGCUCUCCUGUAUGUACAUGUCGAUCCAUGUAGCAUGCUGCUGAUCUCUGCCUGGUGCUGAUUUACAUAGUAUCAAUUGACUCGUCCUAGGUAUUGUAUUGGAAUUGAACGGCACCUGUAUACAAUCCAUACUACGUAUACGUAGGUAGCUAUCGUAUACGGUACAUAUCCCCGAUGCAGACUCCAGUCCGACUCAAACGUCGCAAGCGUCCGUCGAAGCAGACUGACAGACUGACCGACCGGGGGACCUGUCUAUUUCACUCUUCCGGGUUGAUUACUCCGUCGUGGAAUUUUCAUGCAUGUCAAGUAAAAGUAUCUGUACCGUUUAUUGUCGAUCCAUUAGUUACCAGUGCGUACCUACAGAGGUAGGAGCAAGAGGGAUGAAUGCAUCCGUGUUAAAAAAAAAAAAAAUCAAUAUCUUUGGUGGAGAUGGAAAUCGUGUUGCCAUCUGUCAGUAUACUAUUCAGUACCGGUAACCCUACUACGCCAGCAAGAUGACAAGACAGUGGAAUCCGAUUGAUGGACAAACUCGCCGGCCACUGUCGAAGUCACCACACCACAACUCCAUAGACAGAUUACAAACAUUUUACAGUCUGGUUCUGGAGUACGCAUUGAGCCCGUCGUAAGAAAUUAAAAUACAGUCCGAUGCAUGACGCCAGCAGGGAUUACACAUUCAUAGCUACAUUUUGGCUGAUGCGAUGCAAUGAAGCAGCGCGUGUGUGUGUCUGCCGACCGUCUUUUUCCUUGUCGCUGUCAGACUCACUCCAAAGAAGACUGCUCGUUCGCAUGAAAUUUCGUUAUUGUCUUACCUACCCAGGUAGGGUAGUGUCAAGCAUGUCGAGCUUGGACUGCAUACCUACUACAUACAUACAUACACAUACAGACAUGACAGAAAAAAUAAAAAAUAAAAAAAAAAAAAAAAAAAAAAAAAAAAAACGCACGGAGUGAGUGUAUACCCCAUAUUUCAACGUCGAGUUUACAUGUCUUGGUCGAUUGAUUGUAGUAGGGACGUUGUCCUUGAGAAUGGACGCUUGACGGCGAAAUUGCCACGAUGAAAAAUCCAUGAGCAUUGAUCAGCGUGCAAAUAUUUCGUUCUUGUCGUGAUGUCGGUCAAGCAACGUUGUACAUAGUUUUGCGGCGAAUGAUUGGCCGACACAACGAGGGAGCCAAGUUCCAGGCCUGUCACAUUCCGGUGUUGGGAUCGAGUCACAUUCUACACUGUAGUUACCCGUAAGUUACUAGAGAUGGAGAUGGCCGGUUUUUCCGGAUGUAUGAGUGAGUGAGUGAGUGAGUGAGUAAGCGAGCGAGUGAGUGAGUCUUGGCUUGAUCGUGCGAUGACAUAACCAUGUACACUGAUUCGAAGCUUCUCUCCGUUGUUGGGAUCAUUAAGCGCUCUACUAUGAGGCGGGAACAUUGGUGGGCAAUAAUAAUAACUCACUAUGUGGACGCAAAAACCAACAUACUCUGUAACUAGUACAUACCGUAGUAGAUAUUCUUCAAAGUAACCUUACGGCACCCCAGUCAAUAACCGCCCAACCAACUUGACUCUCAAUUGACGUGUGUUAACUGGCUUAUCAACAUAACAAUCCUACCCGGCCAUGCACAAAUCAGCAUGCCAUUACCAUCUGAGCAUCAAGGGCGACAAUCAGAGUCCGAUCGAGAAAUCCUGACAUACGUUAGUUAGGAAAUAAAGUAAACUAAGCCUGUUUUUGGAGAAAGCUCUGAGAAAACAGUCAAAACACAUCCCAAAAUGAAAGAAGGAGGGAGGAGGGGCAAAAUGAUCUGCAGACUAAAGAGGUUUAAUGUAGAGGGCUAAGGCUGUUUGCCAUGUGUUGGUCACAUCGCAGAGCGAGCCGCGACUGACUUUGAGUAUGAGUGUGAUCAAGGACAACGCAAUUCUCAGCCACUAGGUACGCAACUUCCUUGCAUGGAUAGUUACUACGAUCCUUUGACUCGACACGCGACCAGCAAGGCACAUGGAUGUUCAACAAAGCCGGUCCUGUACUUAACUUAGUACGUACUGCAUACUCUCUCUCUCUGCCAGUAACUAUGUAGUACACACGGAGUCAGUCGUAGGAAUGCAGAAUGCAAUGUUGUGAUGUGAUGGAUGCCAGGUGGCUCUGAGCCUUGAUCAACCACAUGCAUCUCCAGCGCGCACGAAGGAAUGUCAAUUAUCCAUAUUUCCUUGCGAACUCGCCCCUCUGAUUGGCCGGACACGAAACCACUGAAUAAUUCGACUUGCCAGUUGCCACCACGUACAUACGUAGUUACUACUACGUACUAUGAUGAUUACAGACGUGCUCGCCAGAUCUUCCGUCUGUCCACCAGAACGGCUCUAAACCACAAUAGAAAACGCAGUGCUUGGCGGGGGACUCAUGAUAGGUUCCUUGCGUGCCGACCAGCACACUAGCACCGUCUAGCAGCGGGCCAGACAGGAACUAAGUUAACUAAGUCAACUAAGCAAACUAAACUCCCUGGCCUGCCGCCUAAGAUUCUUCUGAAAUGCCACGUGAAAUACUCUGUGUGCCGCGAGUGCUCACUAGUUAGCAGUAUCCCAGCAAGGUGACAUGGCACAG